GAAGCACCGGCUAACUCCGUGCCAGCAGCCGCGGUAAUACGGAGGGUGCAAGCGUUGUUCGGAAUCACUGGGCGUAAAGGGAGCGUAGGCGGACCGUGCAAGUCUGAUGUGAAAGCCCGGGGCUCAACCCCGGAAGUGCAUUGGAAACUGCAUCGGCUUGAGUUCGGGAGAGGAGGGCAGAAUUCCCGGUGUAGGGGUGAAAUCCG
rnacentral:rRNA from 1 species